GAUGAAGAACGUAGCGAAAUGCGAUAAGUAAUGCGAAUUGCAGAAUUCCGUGAGUCAUCGAAUCUUUGAACGCACAUUGCGCCCUCUGGUAUUCCGGAGGGCAUGCCUGUCUGAGCGUCAUUGUCAACCCUCAAGCUCAGCUUGCUGUUGGGUCCCCGUCGUUGCUUUAACGGCGGACCCGAAAGGUAAUGGCAGAGUCCGUGAGACCCUAGACGCAGCGAGCUUCUAGCACGCGUCUGGACGUUUUUCGGGCUCGGUCUUAACUAGAUGAUAACUUCCGAUUGACCUCAGAUCAGGUAGGGAUACCCGCUGAACUUAAGCAUAUCAUAAGCGGAGG
rnacentral:misc_RNA from 1 species